AAACGCAUAUGGCAAAACCGGAGCAAUCCGGCGACGCAAAGCUAAACGGACUCCGCAAACGGGAGUCAGCCAGUUGCCCGG
rnacentral:ncRNA from 1 species